rnacentral:rRNA from 1 species
CUGUCGCGUGGCUAGCGGCUUGCUCUAGUCAAACACGUACUCACCGCCAUGCCUGUGCAUAUCCCGUUAGCGCUAGCACUACACCCAGCGAUCCUCGAGGUCAACAUGCUCAUUCGAGAUUUCCUUUGGCAUGGCAACAAGGCUGCCCAUGCUGGUUGCUGCACCGUCUCGUGGCAAAAGGUGUGCCGUCCCCUCGCGCCUGGUGGGCUAGGGAUCCGCGAUCUGCACCGUACUGGCGUCGCCCUCCGCACCAGGUGGCUAUGGUUGCAGCGCACCGACCCUGACCGCUCCUAGAAACAUCUCCACCUCCCGUCCGAUCACGAGGCCUAUGUGCUCUUUCGUGCUUCCACGACCUGGACCAUCGGCAAUGGAAACACCUGCAAGUUCUGGCAGGAUCACUGGCUCAACGGGCGCUCCAUCCCCGAGAAUGCACCUACACUUUCUGCCCUCAUCCCGUGGCGCCGCCAAAACCAACGCCUUGUCAGCGACGCUCUUAGCAACAUAGGCUGGAUCCCCGACAUCCACGGCGUCUUACACCCCCGCGCGGUCAUUGAAUAUGUCGAGCUUUGGAGGCUGCUC